rnacentral:tRNA from 1 species
GUUAUAAUAAUUUAAAUAAAAAUAUUGGUUUUGUAAACCAAAAUUGAAUUAAUCUUAUAACU